GUCCACGCCGUAAACGAUGUCAACUAGCCGUUGGGCCUAUUUACAGGUUUAGUGGCGCAGCUAACGCAUUAAGUUGACCGCCUGGGGAGUACGGCCGCAAGGUUAAAACUCAAAUGAAUUGACGGGGCCCGCACAAGCGGUGGAGCAUGUGGUUUAAUUCGAUGCAACGCGAAGAACCUUACCUACCCUUGACAUCCAGAGAAUCUGUUAGAGAUAGUAGAGUGCCUUCGGGAACUCUGAGACAGGUGCUGCAUGGCUGUCGU
rnacentral:rRNA from 1 species